GUGCCCAUCUUCGUCCACCUGGUAGGUUGCUGAUGAUGUGCCUUAUCCCUGAGGUCAUCACGCCGACCUGCCGGUAAAGGCAGGGUCAUAUUUUCCUUCAGCACAGUCAGGUCUCGGGGCGAGUCCUUUCCCCGGUUGACUGUGCCACAUCUUCGUAGGCUGCAAUCCUCGAUGACUUGUCCCAUACAUACUUUACACACACACGCAAACGCUCAAACGCUCAUGACAAGAAUAGCGCUUCGAAUGCCCCAAAAAUGCAACAAUAAAUAAUGAAUAAUGAAUAAUUAAUCAAUAAGCCCAUGAAGCCCAUGAAUAGAAGAGCCCAUGAACGAACAGUAAAUAACAGCUGACAGAUGAAUACAAUAAUAAAAUAAUAAACAUAAUUAAACGUGAUUAAACGUAAUUCAAUCACAAAUCACAAAGUACAACAGAAAAUCAACGUAUAUAUGCAUUUAAUGCAACAGAACAAUCAAUGAAACAGUUGAAAAGAAAGAAAGAAACAGUAAUAAACAUGCGAACUAAACAUAAGAAGCAUAGUAAGCGAGCAAGCAAGCGAGCACAUGUGAACUCGGCAUAAGCAAAGCAAAAGCGAAUAACCAACAAAACCUCCAAAACCUCAAACGUCAAACAUACAAGCAAGCAACCAAGCAGCAGGAGACGAAUAAUAGUAAAGAGUAUUUAAUAUUUAACACUAGCACACAAUGUAAUCACAUCGUUAAAAUAAAAUUCAAGAUGAACUAUAAAUUCAAAUGAAAAUAAACCAAGGAUGUGAAACGUAAAGUAAAAGACGCCAGACAAUAGCAGAUAGCAAAUGCCAGUCAUGAGAGAAAAGAAAUAAAUCAUAGAAUGCUGCUAAUUAUUGUCAGAAGUAAAAGGUAAAAUAUAGAGUAUAACCAGAAACAGCGGAUUCUAAUGCGAAGUAGGCACACGCAUCACUUCAAAAUGAAGAACCAAGAAACAAGAUCACCACAAAAGAAAGGGUGACUGAAAGAAAAUUACAAAUAAUAAGAAGUAAACUGAGAGCUUACAUGAAACGCUCAAACCAGCGAAGUUGAGGAUCCCUCCUGAGAAGCCAAGAUAACCAAGAUAGUGUAAAUGAAAGUCCAUUAGGAUUAUUUAAACUACUAGUCUGUACUAUGUAGAACCGAGCAACCCUGCAACGAACAGAUGUACUUAGAAGACGAGCAACAUAAAAUAGAGCAGGCCAAUCGAUGACGCUAACGCCAAACAUCAAGUACAGUACAUAAUACAUUCCUGUCCCAUCAAUUCAUGGAAAAAGUACCAUAUCUUCAAAGAAGAUCAGCUGGGAAUAAAAGAAGGAGAAAGGAAGAAAAUAAAUAGAUGGAACAUUCUACACAACCACAACCUCAAGCGUGAUUGACAAGCAGAGAUGGUGGAGAAACAAUCAAUGAUCAAAUGAAGGCAAAGAACAACAAUUAUAAAUUAUUGUGAGCAAAUCAUCAAUAAAGAUAAGUAGCAACAUAUAUCUCAUAAGAUUAAUGAUGAUGGACAUAAUGAGCAUAAUAGGUAGAAAUAGAACUAUUAACAUAAGAAGUUAACCAUAGUAUUAAAUAUCAAAUCGUAACCACAAUCCUAGUCCAUCUGCAGGAAACCCUUACGCCAGCCAAUAGAAGUGGAGGCAAAACGUAACGAUUAAUAGGAAAAGAAAAUACCCACCUGACAUAAUAUGAGGAGCAACAUGAGACGUAAAUCAGCAUAAAACAUGAAGCAGAUCAAAACAAUUCAGAUAGUUAUAAAUUGCGUAGAUUGUUACUGAAUUAUCAUACCGCUCCGAUAAGUAUGAUAUUAACGUUAAUACUGAUACAGAUACAAGUAAGUCAAUGUAAUACAACGUGUGAUGAACAAAACUAAUCAAAUAAUAAACACCACAUACCACCGUAUUAUUACUGAACCAUAAUAUGAAAGUAAAAGAGAACUAAUCCCUAAUAUGAAGAAAAAUAGAUCAAAAUUACUAUAAACAUAUGUAUAUAUAUAAUAUGUAACAAAAACACGCCAAAUGUAAUCAAUUUAAUAAAGUAUACUAAUGUAGAUGAUUAAUUAAACUCCUUAUAUUAUAGUCAAUUUAAAUGAUUUAAAUGACACAAUUCCAUUAAGCCCCCUUUAAUCCUAAUUAAUAGAAAAGGCAUAUGAGUAAUAAAAUCAAGCCAAACAUUGUUGUAAGAAAGGCUAGUGAGAUCCACGGUCCAGAAAAUCAGAGAAUUCAAA